GCUGGGUGUGGUGGUGCAUACCUAUAAUCUCAGUGACUUGGAGGAUGAGGCAGGAAGAUUGCAAGUUUGAGGCCAGCCUUCAUAAUUUAGGGAGGCCCUGAGAAACUGAGACCCUGUCUCAA
rnacentral:sRNA from 1 species